CGUUGUUCGGAAUUACUGGGCGUAAAGGGCGCGUAGGCGGCCUGUUAAGUCGAACGUGAAAUCCCCGGGCUCAACCCGGGAACUGCGUCCGAUACUGGCAGGCUUGAAUCCGGGAGAGGGAUGCGGAAUUCCAGGUGUAGCGGUGAAAUGCGUAGAUAUCUGGAGGAACACCGGUGGCGAAGGCGGCAUCCUGGACCGGCAUUGACGCUGAGGCGCGAAAGCCAGGGGAGCAAACGGG
rnacentral:rRNA from 1 species